rnacentral:rRNA from 1 species
AUCGAACGCUGGCGGCAGGCCUAACACAUGCAAGUCGAACGAGUGGCGGACGGGUGAGUAAUGUCUGGGAAACUGCCUGAUGGAGGGGGAUAACUACUGGAAACGGUAGCUAAUACCGCAUACCAUCAGAUGUGCCCAGAUGGGAUUAGCUAGUUGGGGGGGUAACGGCUCACCAAGGCGAAGAUCCCUAGCUGGUCUGAGAGGAUGACCAGCAAACCUGGAACGGGGAAAGGGCCCAGACUCCUACGGGGGGCAGCAGUGGGGAAUAUGGCACAAUGGGCGCAAUCCUGAUGCAGCCAUGCCGCGUGUAUGAAGAAGGCCUUCGGGUUGUAAAGUACUUUCAGCGGGGAGGCGUUACCCGCAGAAGAAGCACCGGCUAACUCCGUGCCAGCCGCCGCGGUAAUAC